UAAGCUCACUUCAACCUCCUGUCUUCGCAUCCAAAUAUAUCUAUGAGUGAGACACAACUUGUGACUUGAGACACACUGGGCACAGUUACAUGCAAAGGUAGAAAAGAUCAGUUGUGUUACAUUUGGGGUGAACUGGUAGCCGGGCUAUCAUGAAGGGGAAGAAAGCCAAUCUGGAUGAGUCUUCCUGUCCAGAAGGCAGAGAAGGUUCUCUGAGACAGCAGGGACAAAAGCCUGAACAAAAAGGCUUGAAAUGACGUGCAGGGUCUUUGUAGGACAGAACGCAGAGUUCAACGUCAGAUAAACAGCAUCUAAUGUAUUAGUGUAAGAGCUUAUGCAAGAUUUGAAACAUGCUUCUAGUAACUCAUUGCUUGCUGCUUACUGACCAUUCAAAUUUAACUGGAUAUUCAGUAAGCAACUUGUUUUCUUGGCUGUGCUGUGCCCUGGCUGUGCUGUGCCCUGGCUGUCCUGUGUGCCCUUGGACAUAUUGAUGUGCAGCAUUGAAAGCUUGGAAUCCAGUAUGUAUGAAGAGAGCCUGGGGUUGAAGUUUAUACUUCAAAGGCCCUGUUUUGUCCAUGUGCAGGUGCCACCCACCUUCAAGAUGGAUCUUUCCAUUUCAUGUGACCUUUAAAGGCUGUCCUGAAGGUUCCAUUUUUCCAGUUUGCUGAGAUAUUAGCCACACCUUUGCCUCCCAGAUUCAGAUUUUUGCUGUCUCUGAUCAUCAUGGAGUCCUUAACAUGAAUAGGGAAGAAAUUCCUCGGAGGAACGUGAAAACAUGCACAUUAUUAUACAAACAAGCCUUUCGCCCACAGAAUCCAUCAACUGACACUUGUGGAGGUCCAUGCACUGCUGGCCCUGUUCAAGGGGUGGGAACCAUGUCAUUCCACUCCUAUCAAGGCCACAUUGGACAUGGCAAGCCACCUAGCAAAUCUGAGGUCAACAUGACUUACAUGAAACCCUACUUUGAAAAAAAAAUACCCAAGCAAGCACAAUUAAAUGUAUUUAAUGAAACUGAUUUACAGGUAUUAUUUUAAAGGCAUUUAUCUCUUUAGGAUUAUUGUUUUCAAAUUUAUUCCACCCCAAGCCUCCAAAUUCAGUAGAAUCAGGUCCUCAGGGAAAGGCCAGCUCUCUUGGUAUGACUCUAACCAUUAAAUUGGUACCCACUAGAGAAGAUGAACAAAUACUGGCCAGGACAAGUCAAGUGAGCCAGGGAUAUGCCAUCAAUGAGUUGCAGUAAGGUCUGAUGACCCUGAACUGAAUGUUUAGCACAGCAGGUAUGUGUCCCAGGUUUUACUGCCACCUUCCAAAUGCCACACAGUGUCUUUUACAAGAGCCGAUGAACUUGGAACUAUGCAGGGAGUAGAACUGUGGGAAACCUGCUUGCAGUGUACGCCCACCACAGUCAGAGUUUUCAAGCCCCACCCAGCUACUUUAUUCUUUGUGUUGAGCCGAGGCAGGCAGAUCUCACCAUUCUUUUAAAAGACAUUGUGUGCCUUCUGUCUCCGAAGAAUCAAAGGGCUGGGGCCAGGUACUGCUGAUUCAUAGGAUAAUCAAAAAGGAACCUGGAGUAAAUGACUGUACUCAUAUGGAAAAUAAAAGACUGACUGGGCUUAUGAUCUGCAAGAGAUGAACCUUCCUGAGAAUUUUUUAGGAUAACAAGAAAAUGCUGUCUCAAGCAGAGAAUUGUCUGGAGAUCUUCAGAGCACAGAAAGAGCAGUCUGGAAAGCUGUCUUGAGCAGGACAUUGGCCGCCAGAUUGGACUCAUGAUUUGAGUUGUUUGUUUUUGCUGCUCCCAGACACUCCUUAUCCCAGAACCCUUCUGCAAGCUGAGUCUGGCCCUUGGCAGUGGCUCAGGUUAACCUUGAAACCCUGAUCUCGUGUCUCUAUAUCCAACAUAAUGGGAAUACUUCAUUUUAAAAUAAAGUUCUUCCAUAUUUAUUAAUAAAGAUAUAUAGAUAGUUGUUAUGA